GGCCGCGGGUGGCCUCGGGAGGUCCUGAGGCUAAGGGCACAGGAGACAUUUGGAGAGGUAGGGUUGUCUGGGCGAGCAGGAAUGCUUCAUAAACUGCAGCCCAAGGUCUCAGCGACACUGGAUUCUGCCUUUCGGAAUAAGGAUGAUGUCACCCAGACGCCCACAGCUCUGACAUGGAAGUGUGGGCCUUCUGCAGACUCAGACCAUCAGAGUGACACACCAAUCAGGCAGCAGAGGACGCCGUCCUCACCCAGGAUCCCAAGUGUACUUCUCGGCACUGAAUUUGGAAAGCAGCGUUCUUCUCAGAAGAGACUGGAGAUGCAGAAAGACACCAAGCACAGGAGAAAGACAACAUGACCACAGGACACAGGCUGAACUGAAGCACCCGUGAGCUUCAGUGGUAAACACUAGAAGCUAAGAAAGAGACCAAGCAGGAGUGUCCCACAGAACCUUCAUGGACAGCUGGCUCCUCAGGGGCCUUUGUUUCCCCGUCUUGCUUCCAAAACUGAGACGAUCUAUGUUGCUGUCCUCAGCUGCUGACGUGGUCUGUGGCUUUUAUUGGAGAACCCUGGGGCUCAUAUAGAGGAUAGGAGAAGCACCAGCUGCCCUGGGAAAUGGGGUGUGAGCAGCAGGAAGCUGGGAAUGGCCCUCUAAGAACAACAUCUCUAGAAAUGGGGAGUAUAGCAGACCAACAAUGUCACAUGAAACGGAAUCCCUCUUGCCUGGGUGGAUGCGUGUGCAAAUGCAGUCAAAGCACAGUACGGGGGUCACUGUGAAGGUGCCCAUGUCUCACUACAAAACUAUACUCACAUUGAGUUGGCACAGAGAUCAUUAAAAGAGGCCAACAAGCAGUUUAUCAAGUAAGCAAAGGACCAAAAGAUUCCUCCUUCUGAAUCCUCAGAAUCCUAAGCAAAGGUUUGAAGAAAAUUGGAUGCUAGCCCCUCUUGCUCCCUCUCCGUCUUUAUCUACCUGGUCUGACACAUAGUCUCCAUCCAUAGGUUGCAAGCACUUCUCAGGCAGUCCCAUGUCCUGCCAGGGUUGAGAAUCACCAUUAAAGAUCUGAACCUUCCGAGAGAAGGUCAGCCUAGGCACCAUUGUCCAUGAGUGUUCCUUGAUCACGCGCUCAGAGCCUGAGGCUGGUGAUGAUCCGAUGGCCACAGGGAGAAACGGGUAAGAAGAGAGAGAAAUGAUUUACAUGGGAUCAUCCAUCUGAACUCGGCGGAGUGUUGUUGGUCCACUGGCUCUCUAGUCUCCAUGCCAAGAUGAGAUCUGACUCUAUAAAUAUCACAGUG